rnacentral:rRNA from 1 species
CCUACGGGAGGCAGCAGUGGGGAAUAUUGCACAAUGGGCGAAAGCCUGAUGCAGCGACGCCGCGUGAGGGAUGACGGCCUUCGGGUUGUAAACCUCUUUCAGUAGGGAAGAAGCGAAAGUGACGGUACCUGCAGAAGAAGCGCCGGCUAACUACGUGCCAGCAGCCGCGGUAAUACGUAGGGCGCAAGCGUUAUCCGGAAUUAUUGGGCGUAAAGAGCUCGUAGGCGGUUUGUCGCGUCUGCCGUGAAAGUCCGGGGCUCAACUCCGGAUCUGCGGUGGGUACGGGCAGACUAGAGUGAUGUAGGGGAGACUGGAAUUCCUGGUGUAGCGGUGAAAUGCGCAGAUAUCAGGAGGAACACCGAUGGCGAAGGCAGGUCUCUGGGCAUUAACUGACGCUGAGGAGCGAAAGCAUGGGGAGCGAACAGGAUUAGAUACCCUGGUAGUCCAUGCCGUAAACGUUGGGCACUAGGUGUGGGGGACAUUCCACGUUUUCCGCGCCGUAGCUAACGCAUUAAGUGCCCCGCCUGGGGNGACGCGCGAGACAACACAANAGAGUGACGCGNGAGACGUGCGACGACGACGACGAGGGAGGAGG